rnacentral:lncRNA from 1 species
ACGUGGAGUGUGUGUGUGAGCCAGUCUCUUUCUGUGAUGAUACGUGGAGUGUGUGAGCAUCUCUUUCUGUGAUGAUACGUGGAGUGUGUGAGUGAGUCAGUCUCUUUCUGUGAGAAUACGUGGAGUGUGUGAGUGAGUCAGUCUCUUUCUGUGAUGAUACGUGGAGUGUGUGAGUCAGUCUCUUUCUGUGAUGAUACGUGGAGUGUGUGUGUGAGCCAGUCUCUUUCUGUGAUGAUACGUGGAGUGUGUGAGAGUCUCUCUCUUUCUGUGAAGAUACGUGGAGUGUGUGUGUGAGCCAGUCUCUUUCUGUGAUGAUACGUGGAGUGUGUGAGAGUCUCUUUCUGUGAUGAUACGUGGAGUGUGUGAGUGAGUCUCUUUCUGUGAUGAUACGUGGAGUGUGUGAGUGAGUCAGUCUCUUUCUGUGAUGAUACGUGGAGUGUGUGAGUGAGUCAGUCUCUUUCUGUGAUGAUACGUGGAGUGUGUGAG